rnacentral:rRNA from 1 species
UACGUAGGGGGCUAGCGUUGUCCGGAAUCAUUGGGCGUAAAGCGCGCGUAGGCGGCCAGAUAAGUCCGGUGUGAAAGUCACAGGCUCAACCUGUGAAUGCCGCUGGAAACUGUCUGGCUAGAGUCCGGAAGGGGCGAGUGGAAUUCCUGGUGUAGCGGUAAAAUGCGCAGAUAUCAGGAGGAACACCGGUGGCGAAGGCGGGUCUCUGGGAAUGUCCGUGACGCUGAGGAGCGAAAGUGUGGGGAGCGAACAGG